GCCAUAUCACAUUGAACACCAGUAUCCAUAUGAUCACCAAAUUUAAGCAAUGUUGGGCCUGGUCAGCACCUAGAUCGGUAACCGUUUGGAAAUACCAGGUGCUGUAAG